GACCAUCCUCCAAGGCUAAAUACUCCUGACUGACCGAUAGUGAACCAGUACCGUGAGGGAAAGGCGAAAAGAACCCCGGCGAGGGGAGUGAAAAAGAACCUGAAACCGUGUACGUACAAGCAGUGGGAGCACCUUCGGGUGUGACUGCGUACCUUUUGUAUAAUGGGUCAGCGACUUAUAUUCUGUAGCAAGGUUAACCGUAUAGGGGAGCCGCAGGGAAACCGAGUCUUAACUGGGCGUUAAGUUGCAGGGUAUAGACCCGAAACCCGGUGAUCUAGCCAUGGGCAGGUUGAAGGUUGGGUAACACUAACUGGAGGACCGAACCGACUAAUGUUGAAAAAUUAGCGGAUGACUUGUGGCUGGGGGUGAAAGGCCAAUCAAACCGGGAGAUAGCUGGUUCUCCCCGAAAGCUAUUUAGGUAGCGCCUCGUGAACUCAUCUUCGGGGGUAGAGCACUGUUUCGGCUAGGGGGUCAUCCCGACUUACCAACCCGAUGCAAACUACGAAUACCGAAGAAUGUUAUCACGGGAGACACACGGCGGGUGCUAACGUCCGUCGUGAAGAGGGAAACAACCCAGACCGCCAGCUAAGGUCCCAAAGUCAUGGUUAAGUGGGAAACGAUGUGGGAAGGCACAGACAGCCAGGAUGUUGGCUUAGAAGCAGCCAUCAUUUAAAGAAAGCGUAAUAGCUCACUGGUCGAGUCGGCCUGCGCGGAAGAUGUAACGGGGCUAAACCAUGCACCGAAGCUGCGGCAGCGACACUAUGUGUUGUUGGGUAGGGGAGCGUUCUGUAAGCCUGCGAAGGUGUGCUGUGAGGCAUGCUGGAGGUAUCAGAAGUGCGAAUGCUGACAUAAGUAACGAUAAAGCGGGUGAAAAGCCCGCUCGCCGGAAGACCAAGGGUUCCUGUCCAACGUUAAUCGGGGCAGGGUGAGUCGACCCCUAAGGCGAGGCCGAAAGGCGUAGUCGAUGGGAAACAGGUUAAUAUUCCUGUACUUGGUGUUACUGCGAAGGGGGGACGGAGAAGGCUAUGUUAGCCGGGCGACGGUUGUC
rnacentral:rRNA from 1 species